GAUGAACGCUGGCGGCGUGCCUAAUACAUGCAAGUCGAGCGAACAGACGAGGAGCUUUCUCCUCUGACGUUAGCGGCGGACGGGUGAGUAACACGUGGAUAACCUACCUAUAAGACUGGGAUAACUUCGGGAAACCGGAGCUAAUACCGGAUAAUAUAUUGAACCGCAUGGUUCAAUAGUGAAAGACGGUUUUGCUGUCACUUAUAGAUGGAUCCGCGCCGCAUUAGCUAGUUGGUAAGGUAACGGCUUACCAAGGCAACGAUGCGUAGCCGACCUGAGAGGGUGAUCGGCCACACUGGAACCGAGACACGGUCCAGACUCCUACGGGAGGCAGCAGUAGGGAAUCUUCCGCAAUGGGCGAAAGCCUGACGGAGCAACGCCGCGUGAGUGAUGAAGGUCUUCGGAUCGUAAAACUCUGUUAUUAGGGAAGAACAAAUGUGUAAGUAACUAUGCACGUCUUGACGGUACCUAAUCAGAAAGCCACGGCUAACUACGUG
rnacentral:rRNA from 1 species